rnacentral:rRNA from 1 species
AUGAAGCUGGAUUCGCUAGCAAUCGCGCAUCAGCCACGGCGCGGUGAAUACGUUCCCGGGCCUUAUACACACCGCCCGUCAAGCCAUGGAAGCCGGGGGUGCCUGAAGUGCGCUGCCGCAAGGAGCGCCCUAGGGUAAAACCGGUGACUGGGGCUAAGUCGUAACAAGGUACC